rnacentral:rRNA from 1 species
UGGGGAAUAUUGGACAAUGGGCGCAAGCCUGAUCCAGCCAUGCCGCGUGUGUGAAGAAGGCCCUCGGGUUGUAAAGCACUUUCAGUGAGGAAGAACGCCUAUCGGUUAAUACCCGGUAGGGAAGACAUCACUCACAGAAGAAGCACCGGCUAACUCCGUGCCAGCAGCCGCGGUAAUACGGAGGGUGCGAGCGUUAAUCGGAAUUACUGGGCGUAAAGCGCGCGUAGGUGGCUAAAUAAGCCGGUUGUGAAAGCCCCGGGCUCAACCUGGGAACGGCAUCCGGAACUGUUUGGCUAGAGUGCAGGAGAGGAAGGUAGAAUUCCCGGUGUAGCGGUGAAAUGCGUAGAGAUCGGGAGGAAUACCAGUGGCGAAGGCGGCCUUCUGGACUGACACUGACACU